rnacentral:rRNA from 1 species
GAUAAACGCUGGCGGCGUGCCUAAUGCAUGCAAGUCGGACGGGGCGUCUUCGGGCACUCACGUGGCGGACGGGUGAGGAACACGUGGGCAAUCUGCCCUGGGGUGGGGGGUAGCCGCUGGAAACAGCGGGUAAUUCCGCAUGUGCUGCAUCGCCUGUGGGGUGGUGCAGGAAAGGCCUCCGUGUGAUGCGGAGGUCGCCCUGGGAGGAGCCUGCGGCCGAUUAGCUCGCUGGUGGGGUAACGGCCUACCAGGGCGAUGAUCGGUAGCUGGUCUGAGAGGACGACCAGCCACAGGGGAACUGAGACACGGUCCCCACUCCUACGGGAGGCAGCAGCAAGGAAUUUUCCGCAAUGGGCGAAAGCCUGACGGAGCAACGCCGCGUGCGGGAUGACGCCUCUCGGGGUGUAAACCGCUUUUGUCGGGGACGAAGGCCCCUCGGGCGACCGCAGGGGUGAGACGGUACCCGGCGAAGAAGGUCCGGCUAACUACGUGCCAGCAGCCGCAGUAAAAC